rnacentral:RNase_P_RNA from 1 species
GGAGUGGGACGGGUGGUCGCGGAGACCAGCGGUUCGGCAGUGCCGGAACGCGAGUCUCUGAGGAAAGUCCGGGCUUCACAGGGCGCGAUGCUUGUUAACGGCAAGGCGGGGCGACCCGACGGAAAGUGCAACAGAAAGAUACCGCUCCUGCUUGCGGGAGUAAGGAUGAAAUGGUGCGGUAAGAGCGCACCGGCGGCAUGGUGACAUGUCGGCCCGGCAAACCCCAUCGGAAGCAAGGCCCAAACAGGAGGAGUUGACGCUGCCCGCCGAUCCUCCGGGUAGGGCCGCUUGAGGCGCACGGCAACGGGCGUCCCAGAGAGAUGACCACACAAAUACAGAACCCGGCUUACAGGCCCACUCCAGCC